AUGUCAAGGAUUGAGCCAUUUUGGUGGUGCUCAAGCACCCACUCUACCAGUAAUACCUGAUUUUUUUGCUCGCUGGUGAAGAUUGGCCUACGUCCACAUGUGACCUCCAGGAGAAACAUGCCAAAUGCGUAUACAUGGGUGAAGGGUGUUGGUUUCCCUGUGCGCACGAGUUCUGGUGCGAGAUAUCCAAUUGUGCCAGACACGUGGGCAGCUUUAGCGACGGUUUCAUGGUCAUAUAUCCUUGCAAGACCAAUAUCGCCUAACCGUCCAUUCAUCUUACUACCCAAUAGCACCUUACUUGCCUUUAUAUCUUGAUGGAUAACGACCUGCUACCAUAUCUCAUGCAGAUACAACAAGCUUGAGGCCACACCUCUGAUGAUCCAGUACCUCUGA
rnacentral:rRNA from 1 species